ACCAUUUGAAAUUUUGUCACAGUUAGCAAGUUUAAAACAGUUAAAUAAAAAGAUAUGGGUCCAGUUUGUCCAUAUUUAAGAUCAAGAUUGGAUCAUCCACUUCAAUCCAUGUGCCUAUUUUUGGGAUUCAUUUCGAUAAUCUGAACUGUUUAAUAUAUAAAACUCAUCGAGUAUUAUAUUCUUGUACAAAAUUAUGUUGAUCUGAUAUCGAUAGCUAUUUGAUCGGAUCAGAUUUCUGUCAAUCGUUUAUUUUUUUACCGUCUACUUUUUUAAUACAAAUCUGAUCCGAUCAAAUAGCUAUCUAUAUCCGAUUAAUAUGAUAUUUUAUGAGAAUAUAUAACUCGACGGAUUCUACAUAUUGAUCGGUUAAAAUUAUCGAAAAGAAAUCCAAAAAAAAUCCAUGGUCUAGACUGGACUGGACGGCCCAAUCUUGAUUGAUCUCUUUUAUAUUUACCUGUUUUAAACUUGGUAGCUUUUAUGAUUGAUCCAACUGAUCAUAAUGUAAUGGAAAACAAACCACCCAAGUAGAAGAAGAGCAAGACAACGAAGAUGACACCCAAAAAGAAGCAACAUAGGCCAACGCACACAUUCUCACCGCCGCUGCCAUGACCGCUGUUCUCUGGCCUCACACGCCAAUGACGCCGAUGACCGGGUCUCCGUGCAAGAUCAGAGCAAUUUCGCAGCAAGAUCAGAGCAAUUUCGCAGAAGAAUGUUUGGUGUUUCUGAGAACGGCAGCGCUAGGGGAAAGCCUCGACAAUUCUUUUUUUUUUUUUUUUGGGCUGUGCUUUUUUAUUUUUUAUUUGUAGGGCUUUGUUGGUUUGGUUGUUUUUUGUUUUUUGGAAGGAUAGGGUGGAUAUUUCGCACCAACUCAGCUUGGUUGGAUUACUUAAGUAAUAAAAUUGACUAAUCAGUUAUGUUCCUGGUGAAAAUUUAUUAAUUUUAUAUAAUUUUAUA